rnacentral:rRNA from 1 species
UACGUAGGGCGCAAGCGUUGUCCGGAAUUAUUGGGCGUAAAGGGCGCGUAGGCGGCCUGCUAAGUCGGACGUGAAAUCCCUCGGCUCAACCGGGGAACUGCGUCCGAUACUGGUGGGCUUGAAUCCGGGAGAGGGAUGUGGAAUUCCAGGUGUAGCGGUGAAAUGCGUAGAUAUCUGGAGGAACACCGGUGGCGAAGGCGGCAUCCUGGACCGGUAUUGACGCUGAUGCGCGAAAGCCAGGGGAGCAAACGGG